rnacentral:SRP_RNA from 1 species
GCCAGUGGUGCAUGCCUGUAGUUCCAGCUACUUGGGAGGCUGAGGUAGGAGGAUCGCUUGAGCCCAGGAGUUCUGGGCUAUAGUGCACUAUGCCGAUCAGGUGUUCAUACUAAGUUCGGCAUCAAUUUGGUGACCUCCUGGGAGUGGGGGACCACCAGGUUGCCUAAGGAGGGGUGAACCGGCCCAGGUCAGAAAUGGAGCAGGUCAAAACUCCUGUGCUGAUCAGUAGUGGGAUUGUGCCUGUGAAUAGCCACUGCACUCCAGCCUGGACAACAUAGCAAGACCCCAUCUCU